UACGUAGGGUGCGAGCGUUGUCCGGAAUUACUGGGCGUAAAGAGCUCGUAGGCGGUGUGUCACGUCGGCCGUGAAAACCUGCAGCUUAACUGUGGGCGUGCGGUCGAUACGGGCAUCACUGGAGUUCGGCAGGGGAGACUGGAAUUCCUGGUGUAGCGGUGAAAUGCGCAGAUAUCAGGAGGAACACCGGUGGCGAAGGCGGCUAUCUGGGCUGAAACUGACGCUGAGGCGCGAAGGCUAGGGGAGCAAACAGG
rnacentral:rRNA from 1 species